GAAAGAUGAAAAGAACUUUGAAAAGAGAGUUAAACAGUACGUGAAAUUGUUGAAAGGGAAACGAUUGAAGCCAGUCGUACCUUCGGGUAAUCAGCCUUUCGGGUGUGAUUUUGUGGAGCGUGAAGAGUUAAACGCCUUCAUGCCUGCAUAUUCGUGCACUUUGGGUGUACUUGCCCGUAUGGUUGGUUAACAUCAAUUUUGGUGGUCAUAAAAUGACUGGAGGAAUGUAGCUUCGAUCUCGUAUUGAAGUGUUAUA
rnacentral:rRNA from 1 species